rnacentral:rRNA from 1 species
GACGAACCGUGCUAACGUUAUUCGGAAUUACUGGGCUUAAAGCGCGUGUAGGCGGGUCGGCACGUCGAGCGUUGAAAUCCCCCGGCUCAACCGGGGAAGUGGCAUCGAUACGACCGACCUGGAGGGGGGUAGGGGGAGCCGGAACUUCCGGUGGAGCGGUGAAAUGCGUUGAGAUCGGAAGGAACGCCCGUGGCGAAAGCGGGCUCCUGGACCCCACCUGACGCUGAGACGCGAAAGCCAGGGGAGCGAACGGG